ACGAACGCUGGCGGCGUGCUUAACACAUGCAAGUCGCACGGAAAGGCCCUGCUUUUGUGGGGUGCUCGAGUGGCGAACGGGUGAGUAACACGUGAGUAACCUGCCCUUGACUUUGGGAUAACUUCAGGAAACUGGGGCUAAUACCGGAUAGGAGCUCCUGCUGCAUGGUGGGGGUUGGAAAGUUUCGGCGGUUGGGGAUGGACUCGCGGCUUAUCAGCUUGUUGGUGGGGUAGUGGCUUACCAAGGCUUUGACGGGUAGCCGGCCUGAGAGGGUGACCGGCCACAUUGGGACUACGAUACGGCCCAGACUCCUACGGGAGGCAGCAGUGGGGAAUAUUGCACAAUGGGCGGAAGCCUGAUGCAGAAACGCCGCGUGCGGGAUGACGGCCUUCGGGUUGUAAACCGCUUUCGCCUGUGACGAAGCGUGAGUGACGGUAAUGGGUAAAGAAGCACCGGCUAACUACGUG
rnacentral:rRNA from 1 species